CAGUCGCCGCGGGAAUAUGUAGGGUGCGAGCGUUAAUCGGAAUUACUGGGCGUAAAGCGUGCGCAGGCGGCUUUGUAAGACAGGCGUGAAAUCCCCGGGCUCAACCUGGGAAUGGCGCUUGUGACUGCAAAGCUAGAGUGCGGCAGAGGGGGAUGGAAUUCCGCGUGUAGCAGUGAAAUGCGUAGAUAUGCGGAGGAACACCGAUGGCGAAGGCAGCCCCCUGGGCCAAUACUGACGCUCAUGCACGAAAGCGUGGGGAGCAAACAGGAUUAGAUACCCGGGUAGUCCCUGUCUCUUAUAC
rnacentral:rRNA from 1 species